rnacentral:rRNA from 1 species
UACGAAGGGUGCAAGCGUUACUCGGAAUACUGGGCGUAAAGCGUGCGCAGGCGGUUUUGUAAGCCAGAUGUGAAAUCCCCGGGCUUAACCUGGGAAUGGCAUUUGGGACUGCAAGGCUUGAGUGCGGCAGAGGAGACUGGAAUUCCUGGUGUAGCAGUGAAAUGCGUAGAUAUCAGGAGGAACACCGAUGGCGAAGGCAGGUCUCUGGGCCAUUACUGACACUGAGAAGCGAAAGCAUGGGGAGCGAACAGG